AAGAAAACUGAAUCGAAAACUCGUAUAAUUGCGGGAAUAUGGCCCGCAAGUCUCUACCAAGCUACCGUAAAUAGCUUGACUACGAGGAGAUGCGUGAGAGGA
rnacentral:ncRNA from 2 species